UUGUGCAGGCUUACCUGGUGUUUGGUCCACAAGCCGGAUGCCGUGUCAGCCCCAGCACUACGAGAGGUCCUUCUACAUAGCCCAUCCAGGGUCCGCAGCAACCUAACAAAGGAAACGGGCAAGCUGUAGCCUGGAGCGGAGAUUCGAACAACGGGACUAGGUACCCUCAACAGCAGCCAAGCAGGUGAAUCGCAAGCACGGAUUGAAGACGACCGGUCAAACGAUACCACCUGACCCUCAUCGCAAGCAAGGAUUAGAAGCGCAAUGCGUCAGUUAGGGUUACGAGAUGACUCAAUAAAGCGCAACGAAAGUAGGAAUGAACACGGGACAAACGUUUGUCCCGCGUCCAUUCCUGUGUGGUGUGUGUUUCUUUGCGUCACAGGUUCGCACGAUGUACUGUCGGUCGUAAAAAGUUCGCGGGAUCUGCAGCGCAUGGCGGAGCGACGGAAAACUGCAU